CCCGUCGUUUCUCACUCUUUCCCUCUUGUACCGUAGAACCAUUAAUAAUAGCAAGUUUUAAAGUUAGUCACAGGAUUUUCAACUUUAGUUUUUCUAUGUCCUAUAAUUACAAUAAUUACUCUUAUAAGUUUACUCUAGUAUUCCGCCCAAAGUAUUCCUUGAUAAACUCUAAGCUCUGCAGUUCAGUUCUAGUCUAGCGGUUAUUUUUGAGUUAGCUUUUGUUUUCUUCCAUAAAAAAUAGUUCCUAUUUUUUAUUUUUCACAGAAAGGGGGUAAUGUAACGUGUCAAUAAGUCACGUCACAUACUAAACACAUAUUUAAUAAAGUUCUCCAUGAGUUAGCCUACAUUUGUUUAGAUUUAUUUCCAAAUUAGAAAAUAUUCCCAAUUCCUGUUUUAUUUACAACCAUUCGCUUGUCACUUUGACGUUUGACAGCGAACUAUUUGAGUUUCGUUGUCUUUGACAGAUUCGGUAACUUUCAUUCCAAUGCCUUUAAAAUUGUCUCAAACGUUUUCAUAUUUGAUAAAUUCUUCUUUUCGUUUAAAUUUCGCAAGUGGUAGUUUUGUUUUAGGAAAAAUAGAUCCGACAAUAUUUGAUAAUAUAUUUAAUAAUAUAUUCGUCAAAAAUUGUUCAAAAUUUAUUACAAUUUUAGCAUUUUGGUUAGCAAAAAUCAUUCUUAUUUCGGAUCUGGUAACAUUUCUUCUUAUCGAUGGUUCGAUGUGAAUUCCGUCUUGUCAUUUUACUGUCAGCUUUCUCAUUGGAAAACAGAUAAAAUUUUGAUCCGAGAAAAUCAUUGUAAAUUUCCAUUAUUUUGGUGAAAUACCGGCAGUGCUUUGUUCCGGAGGUUUGCUCCGUCCCUCAGGAAUGGAUUAGGGGCGAAAAUAAUGCCGCCACGGCAAACCCCGGCAACCUAAUGAAGGGCUAACGUAAGUUUUUCCUCAAUUUCCACAAUCGUCUUUCGGAAAAUGCGAUUCCUUUUAAAUUUUCCGGUUCGACUUUAGCUGACUCGCGCCAUUUUUCUUUUCCAGAUAAGGGGCGUGUUAGCCCUUAUAACCCUUAUAAUCCUUUUAA